UCUCCGUAGGUGAACCUGCGGAGGGAUCAUUACAGAGUUCAUGCCCUACCGGGUAGAUCUCCCACCCUAUGUUAUUAUUACUUUGUUGCUUUGGCGGGCCGUUAGGCUCCGGCCCGACUACCGGCCCCGGCUGGUAAGCGCCCGCCAGAGGACCCAAAACCCUGAAUAUUAGUGUCGUCUGAGUACUAUAUAAUAGUUAAAACUUUCAACAACGGAUCUCUUGGUUCUGGCAUCGAUGAAGAAUGCAGC
rnacentral:misc_RNA from 1 species